GAUGAACGCUGGCGGCGUGCCUAAUACAUGCAAGUCGAACGAACAGACAAGGAGCUUGGUCCUUUGACGUCAUCGGGGGACGGGUGAGAAUCACGUAUGUUCCCUCCGUCCUUCACAGGGAUACCUUCGGUAAACCCGACCGCAUACCCCAUAAUAUAUCUAAUCGCAUGGUUCAAUAGAGAAGAAUGGCUUUCCCAUCACUUAUACUUGGACCGUGCGACGAUAUAUGCUACUGAUAAGGUAACGGCUUGACCUAGGCGACCAUCCGUGCCACGACCUGAGAGGGUGAUCGGCCACACUGACAGCUGAGACGCGGACCGAGACUCCUACGCGGACGCACCCGGGAGGAAUCUUCCGGCGUGUCCUCACAGCCGGACGGAACUCCGCCGCAUGAGCGACGAAUGUUUGCAGAUCGCCUAACUCUGUGUAUUAGGCAAGAACACCGUGCUAGUAGCUGUGCUCGUCUUGACGGUACCGAAUCACGAAAGCCCACAGUUAACUACGUGCCAUCAUCCGCGCCAAUACGUAGGUGGCAUAGCGUUGUCCGGAAUUAUUGUCCGUAAAGCUCGCGCAUGCGGUCUUUUAAGUCUGAUAGGACAGCCCGCCGCUCAGCCGCGGAGGGUCACUGGAAACUGGCAAUCUAGAGUGCAGAAGAGGAAAGUGGAAUUCCUUGUGUAGCGGUGAAAUGCGCAGAGAUAUGGAGGAACACCAGUGGCGAAGGCGACUUUCUGGUCGGUAACUGACGCUGAUGCGCGAAAGCCUGGGGAUCAAACAGGAUUAGAUACCCUGGUAGUCCACGCCGUAAACGAUGAGUGCUAAGUGUUAGAGGGGUCUCCCCCCCUUAGUGGCUGCAGCUAACGCAAUAAGCACUCCGCCUGGGGAGUACGACCGCAAGGUUGAAACUCAAAGGAAUUGACGGGGACCCGCACAAGCGGUGGAGCAUGUGGUUUAAUUCGAAGCAACGCGAAGAACCUUACCAAAUCUUGACAUCCUUUGACCCUUCCAGAGAUAGAUGUUUCUCCCCCUCAGGCCACAAAACGAGUGGUGGCGCAUGGUCGUCAUCUCCUCGUGUCGAGAGAUGGGGGGAUAUGUCCCGCAACCACCGCCCCCCUCAUACUUAGUCGCCAUCUUUAAGUGGGGCAUUAUGAGAGGCCUCCCCGGGCCAAACCGGAGGAAGGGGGGGAGGACUUCAAUUCUCCAUCCCCCUUAGGAUUGGGGUUCCCCACUUGUUCCAAGGGACAAUACAAAGGGCAGCGAAACCGCGAGGUCAAGCAAAUCCCAGAAACUCUUUCUCAGUUCGGAUUGUAGUCUGCAACUCGCCUACAUGAAGUCUGGAAUCGCUAGUAAUCGCAGAUCAGCAUGCUACGGUGAAUACGUUCCCGGGUCU
rnacentral:rRNA from 1 species